rnacentral:tRNA from 1 species
GCCCGCGUGGCGGAACGGUAGACGCAACGGACUUAAAAUCCGUGCCGGGAAACCGGAGUGCUGGUUCGAAUCCAGCCGCGGGCACCA